GGGUGGGGACACGGAUACCACUGAGCCACCCUCCCGCCGCAUCAGAGAGGAGGCGCAACGGAGAGAAGGAAAAAACGGAUCGUCUGUGGCUCUACAGCGAGAUUCCACGCAGCCACGAAAACGGACGUCCACGGCCACAAGCGAAUACUCGGCUGAACCUCACCAACCUGCCCCGACCCAGAACGGCGAGCUUCUAGAGAAAGCCCAAUGAGCGCGGUGGGCGAUCGGGCGGGCCGGGUGCGGGGCGCAUAGGCCGCGGGAACCUUCGGGCCCGGCGGUCUGAGCGCCGCGCUCGGAGGCGCCAGUCCCGGGGAAACGGCUCUGGAGCCCUGGGGGGAGCCAGGAGAGCCGGGCACCGGGAGAGGGGACCACAAGACGGAGAGCGAGGAGGAGCACGGGCGCGGAGUGCCCUCCGCGGCACAGCGACACCCCCGGGCCUCAGCCAGGGCCGCCUUUCCCGCCCGCCCCCGGCCUGGAGUACCUGGGAGGCCUCGCGGAUCCCGGAAAUGGCGCGGGGGCGGAGCGCUCCCUGACGUCUUCGCUUGUGCGCGGGCCCCGAUGUAUGCGCCUGCGCGCACUUCCUCGGCGCCGGGUCCUGAUGUCUGCGCCUGCGCGCGGGGCCGGUCCGCCUGGGCUUCUGGCUACUUCCCCGCAACCCCGCGCUGAGGCCAGGCCAGGCCAGGCCGGGGGUAACACUCUACGGGUCUGAUCCAGCCAUGCCUGAUAGGAACCGGAAGAGGUAACGAAGGGAGAAGGCUUUGCCUUCACCUGUAGGGCCUCUAAGUGGCCGGAUCUGUCCUGGAAACUGUGCCCCACAGGGUUAACAGAAAUCCUUGAGCUUGUCUUUACAGCUUCGUAAAAACUCCUCCACAAACAACAAGGACCUACUGUACCGCACAGGGAACUAUAUUCGGUAUCUUUUAAUAACCUAUAAUGGACAAGAAUCUGAAAAACAACAUAUAUACAAAACAUAUAUACAAAACUGAGCUGAAUUGCCUUGCUGUACGCUUGAAACUAACACAACAUUGCAAAUUAAGUGUACUUCAAUGAAAAAAAGCCCUCCGCUUGUAACCUGCCUUCACUGACCAAGCUCGCCUUUAAUUGUUGAUACAAAAACGUGCAUGUCCUGAAAAAUAAGAUGUUUGCUCUGAGUUGUUUUCCAGGAACUUGGAGUCACCUGUGUCCAGUCUGAGCUCAAGCCAGUUAAGACUGGUUGGGACCACCAACCCUAAUACUGGGCCUGCACAGGUGUCCAGUGAAUGACCUUUUGACAUCAGAGGGCCCAAGCCCCCACCCUCAGAUCAUGUGCCAUUUUUUAACAUGGGUCCCAUGAGGAAGCAGCUUGUAGGAUCUUAGUUCCCUGAACAUGGAACCAGGCCCAGGCUGUCGGCAGUGAAAGUGUUGGAGUCCUAAUCACUGGACUGCCAGGGAAUUCCCCCAACCUGCUUCUUCAUCCCGUAAAUACCCUACGCCCCUACUUUGGGGAGGCCAGUGUGAGAUCCGUCCUCCUGUCCCCUCACUUGGCUGCCUGUGAAUAAACCCUCUCUCUGCUG